rnacentral:misc_RNA from 1 species
AGAGAGAGAGAGAGGAAAUUAAUAAUUAAAAAAUGAUUCUAACUUCAUAUUUUAUCUGAAAACAUAUUGCAGAGCUAAAGAAGUUCAUGAGGGCUAAGGACAUAGUUGGAAAAACUAUAUGUUAGCCAUGGCAACAUCCUUUGAGGUGGUAGGCACAUUUUAAUGUACUGCAGAUAUACAACAAACACAUAUUAGUUAUGAAGAAUUUGUCUCCGAAAUGUUUAUAAAAACUUAAGGUUCAGUUGAUUAGGAUUACAAGAUCCGUAGCAUCUAGUCUGAAUUACUGACUCCCCUUCCCCAUGACUUGGAUCUACCACAAGUACCGUUUAGAGGAGGUUUAGUCAUCCCCACUUCUUGGAAAAAGGACAAUCUAGAAGCUGAACAUAAUUUACAGACAGCAAAUUAUUGUUAUUAAUUUUUUUUUUUUGGGAGAACCAUUUUUUAUUUUUAUUUCAGCAUCCAAAAAUUUAGAUUGUACACUUAAUUUUACCCUUUCCAAUUAAAUCUACAUCGCCAAUAAAAUAAAAGUAAAUCUUUUCCCACUUGAAGCAACAUUUCUAAGGCGUCAUUACUCGAUGAGAAAACUAAUUUAAUUAAUUAAUUCCACACCCAUAGUCCACAGUACACACACUCAUGUCCUACCUCAGCAAAGGUCUCCAGAUAUG